rnacentral:rRNA from 1 species
AUUGAACGCUGGCGGCAUGCUUUACACAUGCAAGUCGAACGGUAACAGGCCGCAAGGUGCUGACGAGUGGCGAACAGGUGAGUAAUGCAUCGGAACGUGCCCAGUCGUGGGGGAUAACUACUCGAAAGAGUAGCUAAUACCGCAUACGAUCUAUGGAUGAAAGCGGGGGACCGUAAGGCCUCGCGCGAUUGGAGCGGCCGAUGUCAGAUUAGGUAGUUGGUGGGGUAAAGGCUCACCAAGCCAACGAUCUGUAGCUGGUCUGAGAGGACAACCAGCCACACUGGGACUGAGACACGGCCCAGACUCCUACGGGAGGCAGCAGUGGGGAAUUUUGGACAAUGGGCGCAAGCCCGAUCCAGCAAUGCCGCGUGCAGGAAGAAGGCCUUCGGGUUGUAAACUGCUUUUGUACGGAACGAAACGGCUCUGGUUAAUACCCGGGGCUAAUGACGGUACCGUAAGAAUAAGCACCGGCUAACUACGUG